CUCCUUGUAUGCUAUUUUUUCAUCUCACUCGAGAUGUGUUCUGAUUAUGAGGGGGUCCUUGAUUAAUUUUCUAUCAUAAAAGCGGUCUCCGGCCCCAAAAAAGUUUGAGUCUUUGUCUGACUCCAACAGCAGAAAAUGAUUUCUGUAACAUUCGGGAGAGGAGGUUUGGAGGCCUGGGUCAUAUAAGGAGCAGCAUAGAAUGCUAGCCUACUGUGCACAGUGGAGCUCAUCUCAGGCUAGAACAAAGAAGCUACACACCACACUGAAAAAAAAUACAGAGUGGUAAAAAAAGGAGCAAGGGGAAGUGGGAACAAAGUCCUUGAAAGUCAGUGGUCUGCUAUCGUCUACUCCUCAGUUUAUGAUGGUCCUCACAUCUGAUGGGACUUCAGUCAAGAUAAGACCUGGAGCAGUGUGAUAACAAGUUGCAGUUACAUACCACAUGACCUUCCCUGUAGAAAGCUCAGGUCUACUAUAGCUGUAGAUCUGCUGUAUAAAUUGUUUCAACUCUUCAUUCCUCUCAAUAAUAUGAGAUCGGGUCUUGUCAGCUCUCCAGUCAUGCUCUUCCUUUUUGCAUCAAGAUAAGAAUAUGAUUGUGGAACUGGACUGAACUGUUUCUCUCAUCAUAGCCAGACCAGAAAAACACUUUCUUUUUUUUUUUUACUGAAGGGGAGAAUUUUGUUUGCAAGGUAUCGAUAUAUUACCAUCUCUGUAAUAUUUGGAAAAAAUAUAUAUUUUGUUUAACUCUUGAUCUUUAUCCUUCUCCCAGGGGGAGUCGGAUAAUAGCCAACCACCAUCGUCGUUUUCAGGACAUCGCAUGCUUCAUUGCAUCAUCUUGUGGAUAACAAUUUCUUUAUUCUCUGUUACAUUUUGUGCAUAACAUCCAAAAUAAUCUGAUUGCAUCCGA